UAACACUAAAUUGGCCGAAGCGAUUCU
rnacentral:piRNA from 1 species